AUACAUAUGUAUGUGCGUGCAUAUGUGUGUGUAUAUAUAUAUACGUGCAUCACGUCUUAAAAAGUCGUGUGUUAAAAAUUUGAAUAGCCGCAAUAGCUAUAUUUCCGUCUUCUUGUUGUUCAUUUGUUGUCAUCAUGGGUUAGUGUUUAGUCGGAGAAGAAUAGGUAUCGAUAAUAAAUAUCGAUCGUAAAGAGAAGUAAACUCUGUAUGUAUUGUAGGUGGGUGGGUAUGUCGCACGCGCGUGCGCUUAUAAAUACCACAGGCGGGUAUGGGAAAAUCGAAAUUGCUGCGCAUACGCCAUUGGAGCAAGUGGUAUACAUCGGCGCAGCAGCAGCCAGCAGGUUGCUGGGCGCGAUUAUCGCAAAGAACGGCGCAGUUGCCGCCUCGAGUUGCCUUUCUCCGUUUCCGCUGUUAUUUUCACAUUAGGCUCGGACGAACGCCAUUUUGAACUGCGAGCGGUUUAUUAUCGCGGACCAGUGCCGACAAGACGAGACGGACGAGAUGCUUCUUGUUGUGUGGGUGGACUAGCUACUGGAGGUGAACCAACAUUCACCGUACAAUGAUGCUGCGACAAUGUGGCGCCGGGUGGGAGAAACGUAUUGAAACCUACGAUGAGUUCGGGAUGUCCUUUGAAAAGAUGACUUACUCGCGUUAUAACGCCCG